rnacentral:rRNA from 1 species
GACGAAGGGGGCAAGCGUUGUUCGGAAUUACUGGGCGUAAAGGGCGCGUAGGCGGUUCUUUAAGUCAGGCGUGAAAGCCCUGGGCUCAACCUAGGAGUGGCGCUUGAUACUGGAGGACUAGAGAGUGGGAGAGGUUGGUGGAAUUCCCAGUGUAGAGGUGAAAUUCGUAGAUAUUGGGAGGAACACCAGUGGCGAAGGCGACUACCUGGCCUGUUCUUGACGCUGAGGCGCGAAAGCUAGGGGAGCAAACGGG